CCUACGGGAGGCAGCAGUAGGGAAUAUUGCUCAAUGGGGGAAACCCUGAACCAGCAACGCCGCGUGGAGGAUGAAGGUUCUCGGUUUGUUAACUCUCUUUGUUCGAGAAGAUAAUGCGGGUACCUAUCGCCUAAGCACCGGCUAACUCCGUGCCAGCAGCCGUGGUUCUACGGAGGGUGCCAGCGUUACUCGGAAUCACCGGGCGUUAAGCGCGUGUAGGCGGGAUAGCAAGUCCGCUGUGAAAUCCUAUGGGUUAACCAUAGAACUGCAUUUGAAACUGGUAGUCUAGAGUAUGGGAGAGGUAGGUGGAAUGCUGGGUGUAGAGGUAAAAUCCGUAGAUAUCAAGAAGAAUACUCAUUGCGAAGGCGACCUGCUAGAACAUAACUGACGCUGAUGCACGAAAGCGUGGGGAGCGAACAGGAUUAGAUACCCGUGUAGUC
rnacentral:rRNA from 1 species